UCCACUGCGAGGUGGAAUCUGAAAGAAGCUGGCGGCAAACAUUCGAAAGAGGAAUAUGACAACAGAAUCAUGGAAGCGAAUGCGACAAAC
rfam:Prevotella sp. CAG:386 genomic scaffold, scf161